rnacentral:rRNA from 1 species
UACGUAGGGUGCAAGCGUUGUCCGGAAUUAUUGGGCGUAAAGAGCUCGUAGGCGGCUUGUCGCGUCGGCUGUGAAAACCUGGGGCUCAACUCCGGGCCUGCAGUCGAUACGGGCAGACUGGAGUUCGGCAGGGGAGACUGGAAUUCCUGGUGUAGCGGUGAAAUGCGCAGAUAUCAGGAGGAACACCGGUGGCGAAGGCGGGUCUCUGGGCCGAUACUGACGCUGAGGAGCGAAAGCGUGGGGAGCGAACAGG